rnacentral:lncRNA from 1 species
AUGAGAGCUGUGGGGCGGUUCCCCCCGCCUGCCAGCGUCGAUAUUUCUGCCCCCGGCUCUUUGCUUUUUGCGAGAGCUAAAACAAAAAGCAAAGGCGAACCCGGGCGAGCAUCCCGGGGCUGCCGACGGGGGCCGCAGGGUCCCCGGCACGGGGCCAGAGCCGCCUUCCCGCGCCGCUCCAAUAUUUAUUUAAGCAGGGGGCUCCGCUGCGUGCGCGCGGCCUGGCAGCAGCCGGAGCUGGCAGAGCGCGGCGCCGAGCCGCUUGGUUCGCUCGGGAGGCGACGGAGGAGGCUGUGGAAGAGAGCUUCGGUGCACGAGGACGCCGGAGAACAACCCACGGGGGAGGAACUGGCACCUCCCCGGGCGGUUUUUGCUGCCAUGGGGCAUUUUCGGGGCCGGAGCUGCACGGGGGCAGCGGCCCGGCUCAAAGGUCCCGCGGAGCCCCCGGGGGCUCCUCCAAGUUCAUCAGCCGAGCAAAUCAUUAACGCUCGCCGCAGCUGCUGCGCCCGGGGACCUUCGGACCGCGGCGGGGCCGCAGCGCGCGCGGGAGGGCGCGAGCACCUCUGUGCGCUCGCACGCGCACGUGCAAGCCCCACGUUUGGGCACACGCGUGGCGGCGUCCCCCGCCCCCCGCACGGUCCCAAAUCCUGCCCCAAACGUGGGGGGGCUGCCAAAAGGUCUCUGCUGCACCCCCAGGAGCCCCCCCCCCAAGGAGCAGGGAGGUGGCAGCCGGCACCCAGCACCUGCGGCGCUGGGCGUGCGAGGGGCACGCGGGGGUGGCAGAAAGCCACGGCCGCCUGUCCCCUGCCCCGUCCGUGUCCCCACGCCGUGCCCUACCUGCUGGCUGUGCUGCUCCCCCCUCGCUGGGGCCUGGCUCCGAGAGCUUCACCUGCGGCAGAAACAAACGGGCACUGGUGCACCACCCCAGACACUCGUGCGUCCCCCUGCGCACUCCUGCGUC